ACCAGAAAAAGAAGCUAUGCUUCAAAGAAAAUGAAAGAGCUUCCAUGUGCGUGUUCCUCAGUGUUUAGGGAGAAGAAAGCAACCCUUAAAAUAGAGGAAAAUGAAGCUGCUUGGAUUACCCUGUUGAAGUUCAUCUCUGCCUGUGCCAUGCAUGAAAAAAUACUGGCAAAGUCUUCACUUACAUGAGUGUUAGACUCCAUGUUCCCAGUGGGUCUCGGGGUUCAGAACUGAGUGCUCUCAUCCAAGCAAUAGGAGCGUCGACCUCAGGAAAGCCCAAGUGUUUUGUGUGUAUUUUGAGGAGUGGGUUAUCUGUUGCACUGAGCCUCUCUGUGUAUUUUCUUCUUCUUUUCAGCAGAACAAGGGGAGGUGGACAUGGAGAGCCACCGGAAUGCCAACGCAGAGCCAGCUGUUCAGCGUACUCUUUUAGAGAAAUAGAAGAUUGUCGGCAGAAACAGCCCAGGCGUUGGCAGCAGGGUUAGAACAGCUGCCUGAGGCUCCUCCCUGAAGGACACCUGCCUGAGAGCAGAGAUGGAGGCCUUCUGUUCACGGCGGAUUCUUUGUUUUAAUCUUGCGAUGUGCUUUGCUUGUUGCUGGGCGGAUGAUGUUUACUAACGAUGAAUUUUACAUCCAAAGGGGGAUAGGCACUUGGACCCCCAUUCUCCAAGGCCCGGGGGGGCGGUUUCCCAUGGGAUGUGAAAGGCUGGCCAUUAUUAAGUCCCUGUAACUCAAAUGUCAACCCCACCGAGGCACCCCCCC
rnacentral:lncRNA from 1 species